GGGAAAAUGGUUAGCAGAAUUGUUUUAUGAUUGUGGACAAAUGUAAUUUAUCUGAUUAUAGACAGGUGAUAACUUUGUUACCAACCAUAAGCUAAAGGGUCAUUUGCCAAAAGAAUCCAGAAUCUGAACUCAGAAAGAUAAAAGGAAAGAGAUGAAAUCACAGAUUUCAGAACUGUAUCAGCUAAGCUGGAAGCUGGAAUGGAUAUAUACUGCAGGUACUGUUGAGGAAAUCUAGACCUGACAGUGGAUGAGUACAUUGGAAUGAGGAAGUGUACACAAGGCUAUGUGACAUGGUGUUCCCUCCGAGGCCAACUUGAUUCGCUCACAGAUGCUGGAAUAAUUUGGGAACAAGCUUUCCUAUGGUUAAUUUACUAUAAAUAAACACCUUCAGAGA